CUCCGAGAUCCGUGACGUUUAGAGCUUUCCCUGCACAGAACCACAGGUCAGAGUUCAGCCCACUUCUGUAUGCUGUAAGACACACAAUGAUUUCAUGUUUGUAUACCUGUGUGUGUGUGUGUGUGUGUGAGAGACGCACCCUCCGCUCUGACAGUAGCUCCGCCCACCUGACCAGCAGAGGCCGUGAUUGGUGCAGCCUGAGGGUUUGUAUCAGCAUGUUCUGUUGUAUGUGUAUGAGUGUGUGUACUUCUCAGGUCACUGAUCAUUAAUGAUAAACACUGGCACAAUCAUGUCAAAACACUUAUGCUAUGCACUUAAUAAAAACAAUGCUAAUGUACAAAA